AGGAAGCUCACCUGCACCCGGGGUCCAGAGUUCUCAGAGUAGGCAGGAUGCACCGUUGAACUCAUCCUCCAGCCCCCUGACCCCAGGUCUAAGCCCGGGCCCUCAAACCACGUGGUUGGUCUUCCCGGCAGGGCCAGCCCCACCCUGAGUCAUCUCAUUAGCUUAAACCGGGGUCUGGUCUGAGGGCCCCCAGGAAUAAUGAAGGUACUCCUGUCACCCAGGAAACUCCAAGCUUUUCGAAACCAGACAAAGGCAAACAAAUCCUUUAUUAUAUCACAGGAACACCUACACUGGACAAAUGCUGUCCCCAAGGAUUCUGGACUCCAACAGAACCAGUGGGGGAGACUCCCACCUCCUUGGCAGCAGCCCAACUCGCCAGGAGUAAAACCCAUUUGGUUCUGACCGUUUAUCACGAGGUCUUGCUGCGGAGAUGAAGGGAGUUGAAGUGGAAGAGGUUUUGGAGAACAUUCGGGAGGGAGCCUCUAGGAGGUCUGUGAGUUUCGGGGAAAGCCAGGGUACCUGCACGGCUCAGCUCUGUGGGCUCCGAGUCGCCCCAGGGCCAAGGCGGGGGAGCUCGAAGGCGGAGGGGCGGAGGAAGGGCGGAGAGCAGCGCAGGCGGCCCUGUCUGCGCUCAGCUCAACCGCGAGCCCACCUCCCCUCCCGGCCCGCGUCUCCAUGGCAACUCCAGGCCCUGGCCCUCCCGACCCCACCGCUUCGGGCUUUAAGUGGGCAGAUGAAGGCGAGAGGAUAAAACUUGGCUUUUCGUGGACAAGGACCGUGAUCCAGGAGUUAAAUCGCUCCUUUUAAGGCCGUUCUCUCCCAGCCCUGUGAGAAGAGGUAAUUUUGCAAAUUAGCCCAAGAACCCUGAAUGAGUUAACCCCUGUGAAGCAGGAGUGCAUCUCGCUCCACCACCAAAGGUUUAGGCCUGCACGUUCCAGACCCUUCUGCUGCCUUCUCCCUCUGGGCCUGUUCACGUCACUCCAGCUCUUCUCCAAGGAGCCGGCUGGGUCUGGCCGGAGACGCUGCCAGCUCCACGGAGCCGUCAGCCUUCAGAGCAGCACCUUGGGCCAGGAAACACGGACAGGGGGAGUUCUGUGUGCGACUAAUGGACCCCAGAUAGAGCCACUCUUCAGUCACUGCCGUCACUUGAAAAUGCAUUUCCAGUUGACAAUAGCCGUCUGCCUAUAGAUAGCUCCACGCAGAGAUGGCUGGUCAGGCUGCUCUCCCAGAUGCCUGGGUCAGCAAUUUCCAAAGCAUCCAGUCAGCAGUUCCUGCUUCCUCCAGCAAAGUCUGGCUCUCUCCUCCCAUCUCCCAGUCCCAGGACAGGGUCCGGGCCUAGAGGGGACAGUGGCCGCCCCAAUCCGUUGCCAACAGCAGGCCCCUCUCUCUGCGCUGCCUCCAGGCCCCCAGAUGCCGACAAAGCCCAGAGCGAGCAGGCAACUCCCCACAGGACUCAGUGAACCAGGUUUGAACCCAGGACAGGUGACUUGGACCGCGCGGCCCUGGGGCAUAUGCAGCCUGGCUGGGCGGUGCUGACUACAGGGAUUUCACAAGGCCCAGCACACAGGAUGCCAACAGAAAACCACUCCUUCCUGCUGAGGCAACACCCCAGGAACGGAUGGAGAAACCGGUGAGCAGCCUCUCUGACCAGGGUCGGAGUCAAGAAACGGAAGUGAGUGGGCAUCUGAGGCAUGUCUGCAGAGCCAGCGAGUGGGAGGACAAGUUCAAGUGGCCAGGCCACGGAGGCCACCGCGCUGCUUCUCCUCCUCAGGGCAGUGAUGCCCUUGAACCAGAAGCCUGAGCCUUUAGCAGCAGUGACAAGGCCUGGAUGCAGACGAUGCCACGCCAGUAGCCAGGACAGGCCGUGGUGACCUGCACAGACUUUAGCCCACCAGCCAGCCCUCUGAGCACUUUCCAGAGUAAUUUUUCUCCUGAGAUCCCUGGGAGGUGCCCUGUUAGGAUUGUCCCGUUUCACAAAGGAAGGACAGGACAGGGAGAGGCCAGGAACUUUCCAACGUCGCGCUGAGGACGAGGCCCAGAGGAUGCUGCAAGGAGCCCGGCCAGGGGAGGCAGGACUUGUGCGGCUUCCUUUCCGAAUCCCUGCUCCCAGCCACGCCCCUCCCGUGAAGCCCCUUUCAGCCCCAUUCCUCAGAGUCCUGUCUGCUGCCUGCCACCCCAUGAUGCAGAGGCUCAGGGCUGACUGCUGGAGCGACGAAUGGACGAUGGCGAAGGGCAAUGUGUGUGCCCCGAGGACACGCGCUCCCACCAGGUGAGCUCCGCAAGUCUCUGAAGCUCACGGGGCCUCAGGGCUCCCAACUCCGCGAGAUGUCAGAUCACAAUGGCCCAGGGUCGGAAUCCCCACUCCUGGACAGCCUCGGUGGGAAGCCUCUCCUCCGGCUCUGCAGUGUAGACAGUAGUGUGCACUUGAGGCUGAGGCACCAGCACAGGUGAGACAGAUCAGCCCCCAGAUGCGUGGGUCACACCCCUGAGCACUGGAGGUGACUGAGGUGAGCUAGAGCCGCCCAGGGAGAAUGGCCCUCCUGUGCCUCUGGGGACAAGGAGCGAGAAAGGCCCCAUCAGUGCCUACACAUCCCCCAGCCUGCCCAGGUGCCCCUAAGAUAGAGGGAGUGUGGCGGAACUCAGAGUCCUUGGCAGGCACCAUCACCACCAUGUAUAUAUGUUAUGUUUUAUAUGCAUAUAUAAAACUACAGUUCUAUA
rnacentral:lncRNA from 1 species